rnacentral:tRNA from 1 species
GCUUCAGUAGCUUAACCCGUAAAGCAUUGGUCUUGUAAACCAAAGAAUGAAAAAUAAACCUUUCCUGAGGCU